GGGGAUUUAGCUCAGUGGUAGAGCGCUUGCCUAGGAAGCGCAAGGCCCUGGGUUCGGGUUCAGUCCCCA
rnacentral:tRNA from 1 species